CGGAAACGGUCUCCUGGUGGUCUUUGGGACAUCGCGAUCUGGGCACAACAUUUGGGGGCUCGUCCGGGAUCCCAAGACCUUCAGGACUCCCGUACCGGAGGGUCAACGCCGGCUGCCCACUUGGGAUGACUGUCAACAGCUUCUGCAGGUUCUGUUCACCACUGAGGAACGAGAGAGAAUCCAGAAUGAGGCCAGAAAAUUGGUUCCUGGUGACAGUGCCUCCAAAGUGUACACGAAGACAUCUGGCCUAAGUUAAAAGCCUUAUACCAGACCGGACCACCUCCUGAGCCCCAUCGCUACCGACCUGGAGACUGGGUCUUCGUUCGGAGACACCGGCAGAAAGACCUUGAGCCCCGUUGGAAAGGACCCUACGUCACAGUCCUGACCACGCCCACUGCUCUCAAGGUCGACGGG
rnacentral:lncRNA from 1 species